AUGUGGGAAAAUGGGAGCAGCAGACUGCAGUACACAUUCUUCGGAGACGUUGUUACCUUCGAUACGACGUACAGAACAAACUUGUACAACAUGCCCUUUGGCCUCUUUGUCGGUGUGAAUAACCAUUUUCAGAGCAUCAUCCUAGCUGGGGUUUUGGUUCGUGACGAAAAAGUUGAGACCUUUGAGUGGGUUUUCACAGAGUUCGUUAGGAUGAUGGGUGGAAGUGCCCCUAAGACAAUUCUAACCGAUCAGAACCGUUCGGUGGAGGUCGCCAUAAAAAAUGUGAUGCCGCAGAUAGAGCACUGA
rnacentral:rRNA from 1 species